GUUUAUUAAAUUUUCCAAGAAAAAGCAAAAACAAAAACCGUACUUUAAUCCGACACAGGUGAACAGGUUGAGCAAACUAAGGCGUUGAGAGAACUUUGUUGAAGGAACUCGGCAAAAUAACCCCGUAACUUCGGGAGAAGGGGUGACGUUUUAAGAGAAAUCUUAGAAGGUUGGCACAAAAAUGGGGGUAGCAACUGUUUAAUAAAAACACAGGUCUCUGCUAAUUUGUAAAAAGAUGUAUAGGGGCUGACACCUUCCCGGUGCUGUAAAGUAAAAAAAUUAUUGUUUUGGCUUUAAUUUUAAACUCCAGUAAACGGAGGUCCUAACUCU
rnacentral:rRNA from 1 species